AAUGAACGUUGGCGGCGUGGAUUAGGCAUGCAAGUCGAGCGAGAACCCCGCAAGGGGGGUCAGCGGCGGAAGGGACAGUAAUGUGUAGAUUAUCUGCCCUCCGGUCCGGGAUAGCUGCGGGAAACUGCAGGUAAUACCGGAUAACAUCUCCGGAUCAAAGGUGUGAUUCCGCCUGAGGCUGAGUCUGCAUCCUAUUAGCUAGGUGGUGGGGUAAUGGCCUACCAAGGCAUUGAUGGGUAGCAGGCGUGAGAGCACGACCUGCGUCAUUGGGACUGAGACACUGCCAAGACACCCAGGGGUGGCAGCAGUCGAGAUUAGUCAGCAAGGGGCUCAAGCCUGGCUGGGCGAGGCCGCGGGUGGGAUGAAGCCCGUCGGGUUGUAAACCACUGUCAGAGGGGAUGAAAUGCAGGUGGGUGCACCAAUCUGUUUGACAUAGCAGCAGAGGAAGGACCGGCUAAGUUCGUG
rnacentral:rRNA from 1 species